rnacentral:rRNA from 1 species
GACGAACGCUGGCGGCGUGCUUAACACAUGCAAGUCGAGCGGUAAGGCCCCUUCGGGGGUACACGAGCGGCGAACGGGUGAGUAACACGUGGGUGACCUGCCCUCAGCUCUGGGAUAAGCCUGGGAAACUGGGUCUAAUACCGGAUAUGACUCCAUGACGCAUGUCGUGGGGUGGAAAGCCUUGUGCGGCUGGGGAUGGGCCCGCGGCCUAUCAGCUUGUUGGUGGGGUGAUGGCCUACCAAGGCGACGACGGGUAGCCGGCCUGAGAGGGCGACCGGCCACACUGGGACUGAGACACGGCCCAGACUCCUACGGGAGGCAGCAGUGGGGAAUCUUGCGCAAUGGGCGAAAGCCUGACGCAGCGACGCCGCGUGAGGGAU